GAAAGACAUGCAUGGGCCCUGAGAGAGGAGCUGAACACAGCAAGGGGUGCUUCGGCUGGAGAGGAGGGAGAAGGGCCUGAGAACCGAGAGCCACUGCCUCCCAUCCACACCCACGUCAGGAGGAGCGGCUGGGGCCGACUGAGUCCACCACCCCCUUUACCAGAGGAGGAAACUAGGCCUACGUGAUUGCCUGGGCACACACCGAGGACGAGCAGCAGAGCUGGAACCCGGGCCUCCCUGACUUGGGGUUCAGAGAUUAUGCAUGACAAGAUAGCACUCGUGAAGGCGCCCCGACAGGUCUGGAAUGUGGGAGUGAGUGUGGUGGUGAUGAUUAUUGUGCCCCAUUGGCUGGCCAGGGGCGCAUUUUGGCAGGAUUGCCCUCUUACCCAGUGAGGGCUGGGGACCAACUCAUGUUCUUCCUGCUGGGAGAGGCCCAGGCCCCUGGGUGGGGGCCCCACAUUCAGUCCCUGCCUUCCUGAUUCAUCCCAGCUCUCUUGGAGGCCUGAGUCACUUUUUUUCCAGGUGAGAGCUGCCUGUUUGGCAAAUUCCUGGAUUUCAGGGGAAGAAAUAGGAACUCCUGCCCAGGGUUGGUCUUAUGCACAGGUAAGGCAGGCAGCAACCCACGUCUGCCCCAAAUCCCUGCCCUGGCCUGGAAUUCACUCACUUGUCUAUCUAUCCAUGGGGCCAGCCAUUUCUGAGUAAUGAUCUCCAUUCUGAUAUUCAGUAUUUUGCAGUUUGCAAAACACUUUCAAAUACGGGUAGUCCUAUUUUGUGGAUGAGAAGACUGAGGCUCAGAGAAGGGAAAGGCUGUUUCAAGAGGGCCCAGCUGGGAAACAGGGAGCCAGGGUGCAGUCCCAGGCUUGUCUGACACAGGAGUUCUUCCAUUUACAGUCACUACUGUCCCCACAUCUGGUCGCCAUUUCCAACUCUUUGCCCCAAUUCUCUGAGCUAGGGAAGGAAGCUGUGACCUUCAAGAAGUCUGAUUCCCCUUGCACUGUGGGUAACAGGAGAAGGAGGAGGCAUGGACACUGAAGAACAGUCUCGAGGACAACUGCACAGCCAGGUCUGGAGAGCGGCCGUGGGAGAAGCCUUGAGUGGGUUGAGUGCCCAGCAGCUCCGUGGAGGCUAUCACAAGAAUAUCAGAGAAGCGAGGUUCAACUUGAGAAGAGACCUGUUCCUUCUGGGAAGGAAUUAUGGAGUUACCAAAUAGCCCCACCACACCGGUCCAGGCACCCUGAGGUCACGGACAAGUUCUCUGGAAAUGGGCUGGAGUCCUCACGAAGGCUCCGUUGGGAAGAUGUGGACACAGAGAGUCCAGGCACCUCCAUGCCAGGUCAACAAGAUGCAUGGACAUGGCAUCGUUGUCCCUUUUGGAGCUGUCUCCUCUCCCCCUUGUGUGGGGCUGUGGACAGUGGGCCAGAAGCCUCUCUUAUAUCCUCCUACUCUGCUCCCUCCUGCCCAUAUCCCACUUCCUAGCCCUUGGUUUAGAUCUCUUGAUAAUGGCUCUCAAUCUCAGGUCUCCUGAUGGGGAAUAUUUUGCCUCUCUAACUAAUUGCAGGCUCCAAAAGUCAGCGUGUAGGACGUGUGACUCCCCUAAGUAAGACCUGGCUCUUCCCGGCUGCUGGAUGGUGGGAACUGCCUUCACCAAUAGCCCAGGGGUCAGACAGCAGGGGCUGUGUCUGUUCCCUCAGCCUAGGGCAGGGGCGGGGCCUUGCCCUCUGUCUCUCCCUAGCCUCAGAUCAGGAAGGAGCCCAUGGACUGUCUCAGGCUGGCCUGUUGACAGGAGAACCUGGCCAGGGCCUGAGGUGGUUUCAGCACACUCUCCCUCCCUCCAUCUGUCUGACUAAUAGUCCCAUCUGCAAGCCCCACGUGAGACACAGCAGCGUCUCUGCUGCUGCCCUUGUGAGCGAGCGGCCGUGUCUGCAGCGUAACUGCCUGAUGGUAUCUCCAAGGGUGGUGUGGGUGAGCUGUCUCUUGGGAGUGCCUGCCUGUCUGCCUCAGCCCCCAACCUGCCCAUUGCAUUAUUCAUAGAACCCUAGGACCCGCUUCCCUUCCCCCAGCACUGUGAGAGACACCUGCCUGGCUGAUACUGGGGGUGGGGGGUGUGAGAGUGUGUGUGUUUCAGGGGAGGGGGGGUCUCUGGGUACCCCUUCCUGAACUAGUCCCCAUGACUUCUUCUCUGACACAUUCCUAGGUGGAAGCCUUGGAGACGUGAUUGCUGCCAGGGUGUCUCCAGAGAUGUGAGGCCCAAUUUCCAUCUUCUGGCUCACAAGGAAUCCUAGCAA